CCCUACGGGGCGCAGCAGGCGCGAAAACUUUACAAUGCGAGAAAUCGUGAUAAGGGAACCCCGAGUGCCCGUAAAUUCGGGCUGUUAAUCUGUGUAAAAAGCAGGUGGGGAAAGGGCCGGGCAAGACCGGUGCCAGCCGCCGCGGUAAUACCGGCGGCUCGAGUGGUGGCCACUAUUACUGGGCUUAAAGCGUCCGUAGCUGGAUUGUUAAGUCUCUUGGGAAAUCUACCGGCUUAACCGAUAGGCGUUCAAGGGAUACUGGCAAUCUAGGGACCGGGAGAGGUGAGAGGUACUCCAGGGGUAGGAGUGAAAUCCUGUAAUCC
rnacentral:rRNA from 1 species